rnacentral:rRNA from 1 species
GCAUGUGUAAGCACAGGCCUUUAACACGGCGAAGCUGCGAAUGGCUCAUUAGAUCGGCUAGUAUUUAUUAGAUCAUACCACACUACUUGGAUAACUGUGGUAAUUCUAGAGCUAAUACAUGCAACACUGCCUUGACCGCGAGGGAGGGGCGAGUUUAUUAGAUCAAAACCAACCGGUACGCAAGUGCCGAGCCCGUUGGUGACUCAGGAUAACUUUGGUCUGAUCGCAUGGCCCGUGCGCCGGCGACGUAUCUUUCAAAUGUCCGCCCUAUCAAGUUUCGUAUGUCGGUGCUAUGCCCACAUAGCUUCUUACGGGUAACGGGGAAUCAGGGUUCGAUUCCGGAGAGGGAGCAUGAGAAACGGCUACCACA